UGAAUACUGAGUCCGCCCCAAAAUGCUUGUCUUAUAUUUGUUUACAUACAGAUGUAUUUAGACACAUUUUAGUGUUAGAUACAUUUGUAUCUAAACAAAUCUAAGAUAAGUUUUUUAGGACUGAGGUAAUGC
rnacentral:pre_miRNA from 1 species